GGACGAACGCUGGCGGCGUGCCUAACACAUGCAAGUCGAACGGGGUGAUUUCUUCGGAGAUCACUUAGUGGCGAACGGGUGAGUAACGCGUGAGAAACCUGCCUUUCAGUGGGGGACAACAGUUGGAAACGACUGCUAAUACCGCAUAAUGUUAUUUGGGGGCAUCCCUGAAUAACCAAAGAUUUAUUGCUGAAAGAUGGUCUCGCGUCUGAUUAGCUAGUUGGUGAGGUAACGGCUCACCAAGGCGACGAUCAGUAGCCGGUCUGAGAGGAUGAACGGCCACAUUGGGACUGAGAUACGGCCCAGACUCCUACGGGAGGCAGCAGUGGGGAAUAUUGGGCAAUGGGGGAAACCCUGACCCAGCAACGCCGCGUGAAGGAAGAAGGCCUUCGGGUUGUAAACUUCUUUUACCAGGGACGAAGAACGUGACGGUACCUGGAGAAAAAGCAACGGCUAACUACGUG
rnacentral:rRNA from 1 species